GACGAACGCUGGCGGCGUGCUUAACACAUGCAAGUCGAACGAUGAACCCGGAGCUUGCUCCGGUGGAUUAGUGGCGAACGGGUGAGUACAACGUGAGGAACCUGCCCUUGACUCUGUGAUAACUGCGGGAAACUGUAGCUAAUACCGGAUACGACCCCUGGCGGCAUCGCCAGGGGGUUGACAGAAUUUCGGUCAAGGAUGGACUCGCGGCCUAUCAGCUAGUUGGUGAGGUAACGGCCCACCAAGGCGCCGACGGGUAGCCGAGCUGAGAGGGUGACCGGCAACACUGGGACUGAGAUACGGCCCAGACUCCUACGGGAGGCCGCAGUGGGGAAUAUUGCACAAUGGGCGCAAGCCUGAUGCAGCAACGCCGCGUGAGGGAUGACGGCCUUCGGGUUGUAAACCUCUUUCAGCACCGACGAAGCGCAAGUGACGGUAGGUGCAGAAGAAGGACCGGCCAACUACGUGCCAGCCGCCGCCGUAA
rnacentral:rRNA from 1 species